rnacentral:rRNA from 1 species
GGCCUCUUGUUUGUUUAAGAGGUCUGGCCUGCCCAGUGAAUGUAUUUAACGGCCGCGGUAUCUUGACCGUGCAAAGGUAGCAUAAUCAUUAGUCUUUUAAUAGGAGGCUGGAAUGAAAGGUUUGACGAAAAACUAACUGUCUCACGACAAUAUCUUAGAAUUUAACUUUUGAGUUAAAAGGCUCAAAUAAUAUUGGAAGACGAGAAGACCCUAUAGAGCUUUAUAAAUUGCAUUGUAUUUAAGGGUUGCUUUAUAAUUAAAUGAUUAUUUUGUCGUUUAUUUUGUUGGGGUGACAACAAAUAUAAGAAUAACUUUUGUAUUUUUUUUCAUUGAUUUAUGUUUAUUAGAUCCUUUAUUAUUGAUCAUUAGACUAAGUUACCUUAGGGAUAACAGCGUAAUCUUCCUUUGAAGUUCGGAUUUACAGGAAGGCUUGCGACCUCGAUGUUGGAUUAAGAUAAUAAUUGGGCGCAGCCGCUUAAUUAAUAGGUCUGUUCGACCUUUAAACUCUUACAUGAUCUGAGUUCAGACCGG